rnacentral:lncRNA from 1 species
CCCAGAAAAUGCAGAAAAAAGGCAAACACUCCAAAAAUGGAAAUUGCCCCAGAAACCCACGCUCUCUACCCCUCGUGUCCCUCCCCGCGCUCUCUCCCUCUCUCUCGUCCUCUCUCGUCUCCCCACGUUCUCUCUCCUCAUCUCUCUAGCGCGUGGAGGAGCGAUGCAGUGCAACGGAAACCUGCAGUUCUGCUCCUCCGUACGCAGCCUCCCAGUGAGCACAAGGCGACAAGAGUUUCGUCCUUCCAACGCAAGAUGGCUCCACGUAGCUUGUCCAGUACGAGAAAUUGAUAUCGACCCUCCACCUGUUUCCCGCUCGAUUUGCUCUUUUGGAUGAGGUUUGAAGGUUUUUCGGAUUUGAAUUGGAAAUGGGCCUGAGGAGCGUCCAGCCCUCUUCAUCCGUAAAACCCUAAAUUUCUCCCUAUAUAAACCCCCCACCAACCUUAGGUUGAGGUUGGCUAUUUUUAUUGGAAAUUCUUGGUUGAAUAUUCUUUUGCCUCUUCUAUUUACUUAACGAAAAUUUCUCUUUGACUUUCCUAGUUCUGUUUUUUAGAAGAGUUCAAAUUUCAGAGGUUUGAAAUUCUGAGGGGUUAGACCUUUUGGAUGAACAGGGGGAAUUAGAAACCUUGUUUAGAUUUUCUUAUCACAGAGGUGUCUACAGAGGGAGAUCUGUCUCGUGUUCUUAGAAAAGAGAUGAGGAAGUUUUCUAAGCUAGCUUGCGUUGGACUGGUGUUCGUGCUCACACGGUGGUAGUCGUCCCCAUCCCCUGCUCAUUCUCGUCCCAGCUUUGCUACGCUUAGAAAGGUAACAUCAUAUCUCUUGUCACAGCGUUCCAUUCCUAUUUUUCUGUGUGUGAUUGCUAGCCGUUGGUGCUACUGAACGUAUGUGUUUUAGUCGUUUCAAAGCAGGGUAUGGAAAUGAGAAUUUUGAGCACCUGUUGACCUCUGUUUAGUAUUUUAAGUUCCGUAUAUGUUGGUGUUGUUCCAUCUCGAGUUCAUUCGUGACGUGCCCUUUGGUUUCCAUCGUGAGGUUAUUCAGUCAUAUAUUCGAUGGGCAAAUCCAAAGUUUUAUGAAGAUCGAAGGAUUCCAAGAGGGGAUUAAAAGACUUCCUUAUUUUAUGCAUUUUUUUAUUUUAGUUUUGUAAUGGGCCUAAGCCCUUGUUGUAUUAUUUUCCUUCUCUUGUAUUUUCAUUUUGUAUGUUUAGACUAGGACAGGUACGAAAGAGGAAUGGGUCAAAAACCCAAAAGAAAACAGGUGGGUCCAAAACUCGAUCAUGGCGAACAGAACCCGAGUUUGGAUCCACAAUCCCCCCCUCUCUCUCUCUCUCUCUCCUUUUAUUAUUCGUUUAUAUGUUCGCUUGAAUGUCGUUAGUUAGGGUUAGAAGAAUUCAAACCCCAUCGAACGCGUUUCAUUUUAUCAAACUUAAAAAUUUAAAGCUAAGUCCUAAAAAUGAUAAUUUGUUUCAAAUUUGCAGAGAUUGUUUAGAUAAAACCAUAAGAAAGUUUAACUCAGAAAUAGACUCGCAAAAGUUGCAAGAUAAAUAUUUCGAAACUUGUAAAUUUGUCUUAAAUAUUUCAACUUGUAAAUUUAUCUAAAUGAAACUUUAAUAAGUUCAACUUAAAGAUUCGCAAAAUUUUAAAACAAAAUUAGUCAAAUAAGUUAAUCGCUGGAAAACCGUAAGUUAGCGGAGUGUCUUAGGUGCCUUACACCUUCCUAAGACACUAAAUAGGAAUCCCGAACCCUUAAAAUGUUUUCAAAAUAAUUUUUUCUGUUUAAGUUAUUUUGGAAAUAAGUUUUCUUGAUUUUUCUUAAAAAAUCAAGUGGCGACUCCUAAAAGUCGAAAAUAUCUUCAAAAAUAAAACAAACUCUUUUCGAAAUCAAUUUUUUCGAUAAAGCAUCUACAAUCUUAUUACACAUUGUGCGUGCAGAUACGCUCUAUACGACUUCUGUCUAAGAUGAGCUAGUGUGCGCUUGCACUCGUGGUUUAGGAUUUGUCACACAUGUUAGACCGGUUUUGACCAUAAGUUUAAUCGAAAUUCCUCUACUACUAGUCCGCUAAGCCUCCCCGACUCGAGUUGUCUACUCGAGUAAAGAUAUUCUACACAUCUUCCAUAUAAAGUAUUAUAUCUAGCGAAACAAUCCACAAACUAUCCCUGAUGGCUGAUAGGGUACGUUUAAUUAUUUGCAUCAUGUGCAUUUAACCUAGAAAAUCUAAUAUAGGUGCUACGUGAAAAUUAUUUUAUUAAGAAGGCCUUUACUUGUUGACCUACAUUAUAAUAAAUUUGCCUUUCAAUUUUAUUUCCAUAAAAACAAGGAACAAAAGGUUGAAAUAAAAGGGGUGGUCUUUCAAGUGUGGGUAAUUUUUUUUUAACUACACAUAUAAUUAUUUUCUCUCUAAAAUGAGAAUCGUAUGCAUCCGUUCUCAGUUUUGGUGUUUUAAGAAAAGGGAAUUUUGUUUACUUUUAAAAAG